GUCCUUUUGGAUUUUUAUUUAAGGUCUAGCCUGCCCACUGAAUUUAUAUUUUAAAUGGCCGCAGUAUUUUGACUGUGCAAAGGUAGCAUAAUCAUUAGUUUUUUAAUUAAAAGCUUGUAUGAAAGGCUGGACGAGGUAAAAUCUGUCUCUAUUUAAAUUAUAGUAGAAUUUAACUUUUAAGUUAAAAGGCUUAAAUAUUAUUAAAAGACGAGAAGACCCUAUAGAUCUUUAUAGUUUAUUAAAUUAAAUUAAUUUAGAAAUAUUAAUGUUUUAUUUAAUUAAAUUAUUUUAUUGGGGUAAUAAAAAGAUUGAGUUAAUUCUUUUUUACAAUAAACAUUAAUUUAUGAAUAUUAAUGAUCCAGUUUUACUGAUUAUAAGAUUAAGUUACCUUAGGGAUAACAGCGUAAUUUUUUUAGAGAGUUCAUAUCGAUAAAAAAGUUUGCGACCUCGAUGUUGGAUUAAAGAUUAUUUUAGGUGUAGAAGCUUAAUAAUUUUGGUCUGUUCGACCAUUAAAUCUUUAC
rnacentral:rRNA from 1 species